rnacentral:rRNA from 1 species
ACAGCAGUCGCCGCGGUAAAACAGAGGGUGCAAGCGUUAAUCGGAAUUACUGGGCGUAAAGCGCGCGUAGGUGGUUUGUUAAGUUGGAUGUGAAAUCCCCGGGCUCAACCUGGGAACUGCAUCCAAAACUGGCAAGCUAGAGUAUGGUAGAGGGUGGUGGAAUUUCCUGUGUAGCGGUGAAAUGCGUAGAUAUAGGAAGGAACACCAGUGGCGAAGGCGACCACCUGGACUGAUACUGACACUGAGGUGCGAAAGCGUGGGGAGCAAACAGGAUUAGAUACCCCAGUAGUCCCUGUCUCUUAUAC